CGCCGCGUGCUCUUAUAGGCCGGAGCUCCGCGCCCCGCCCACCCUGGCCGGGAACCAAUCGCCGCCCGCGCGCUCAGCCCGCUCCCCACGGGGCGUCGGCACGCGAGUGGCCAGGAGUGACCGACGGGGGAGGGCGGGACCUAGGGGCCGCGUGGGGAACCUUGCGUCCCGCGCCGCCGGCUCCCUCCGCCCAGCGGCUCUGAAACGCCCAGAAACGUGGAACUGUGGAAAAAUUCGGCCUUUCUCUUCCAAGCCGUAGAUUGCAGUACGCGAAAUUGGGAAAAUGAGAGGGCCGUUAUUCGAGUCACUUCUGUGUUCCCUUGUGCCACUGCCCAGCCAGGUGGGAUUUCUCCAUCACUUUUGUGCGGGUGCAGAGGCUGAGCGCUUCUCUGAUGGUGGGCCUCAUGCCAUCCACUGAAGACCUGAAUAGAACGAAAAGACUGAGUAAGAGGGAACUUCUCCUGCCUGCCUCUUUGAGUCAGAACGUCCACCUUCUCCUGCCCUCCGACUGCGCUUACAUCCGCUCUCCUGGUUGUCCAGCUUGCCGACUGCAGAUCCGGGGACUUCUCAGCCUCCGUAAUCACGGCUUCGGUGGAGGUGUUCAUGUGCCUGGUGAAUCCAGAAUGGGGCGUGCUCCCGGCUUCCCAGGCUGCGCCAGCUUCAUGGGGACAGCUGCACAGCGACCCGGGCCCCACAUGUGGUUUAAUGCUCGGCUGUUACUGUCUUGAGAUUCUUAGGAAGGAUCCGUGUGGUGCCCCUCCCUGCCAGAGAGAGGAAUCAGAACUGAAGAUGACAGUAGCUUUUCUGACCAACAACCGGGAAGGCAAACUUCCUGCCUGGCUUGCAGAGCCCUUGAAGACCGCGCAUCCACCGACCCUGCUGCCACCUUCCCCCUUUACCUUCCAUUCUUGUCAAGCCUCCUUCUGUGACCAGUAAUGUAAUCUCAACUCAAACCACUGUAAGGAAAAAAGAUGCAUUGUUACCUUAUAACUGAGCAAUAUUGCUUAAGCUGAGCAAUAAAGCAAUCAAAGGGUGUGGAAUGGCUUCAGCUAUAGCUGGAUUCAGGCACCCAAAGGAUAUCAUCUAGAUCUCUUUUGUGCUCUGUCUUUAUCUGUGAUCUCUGCUUUCCUUGAGGGCACAUUCUGGGUCUCGAUCUCUCCAUGUGGAGGCCAGGACCAUCCCCCAAACAGCCCUCAGCUUACUCUCUUUGUGGCUCGUGAUCUAUAGAGAAUGUCAUUCCCCCAAGGGUUCCAGAGCACAACUGAAGGGGAGAGUCAGAUUGGCCGAAGGCUGUGAUCCUAUCUGAUGAGCCCACUCCUCAGUUAAUUCAGUGAGGAAGAGAUUGGAAUGCACUGGUGAGGGGCAUGAGCCCACCCAUGGGAUGGUCCUAGAAGGAAGGAUGGGCUCUUGUCCAAUCGCAGAGAGUGGGUUCUCUUUAGAAAGAGGGUUCCUCAUGCAAGAAGAAGGAGAGGAAGAUGUGUCAAGCAGACAGAAAAUGACAACUCUAGGUAACAUCCCCUUCAUUUUGUUCCUUGACUUCUCCCCUCCUCCCAUACUUUGCUUACCUCCCUUCCUCCACUUUCCCAAAUCUGGUCAGACUUUCAAGGCUAAACCUACGGUGAGUGCUCAGAAAGUACUCAACGGACUCUUGGGAGCGGUUGGAACAUCGAAGUGGUUUCAUGAAGGAGGCCGAUGUUUUGUGGCGUCGAAAUGAGUUGGUUCUACUCUAGCUACUUAUUUUCCUCCCUUUUGUGUGAGACUCUAUACUGGUCAAGGCUUUUUAGCUAAAAGGAUCAGAAGACUCCUCGCAGAAACAAAGAACAGCUGAGCCUCGGGAAUCUGGAAGCCAUCAGGUGACAGGAGGAGACUCAGUCCUGCUAGUGGUCUGGAGAGAGACAUGGUCUCCAGCCCCAGUAUCUGUCUGUCUGCACGGCUGUCUGGCUUUCCUCAGCAGCCUGCUAUUGUCUGAUGACUCAUCGCUGCGCUCUGUGGGAAAGAUGAACGCCCCAGCCUGGUAUCAUCACCUUUUAGAAUACAUUCUCUGGGUCUCUUUGUUCAGCUUUCUGAGAAAGAGAGAAUACAUUUGGUCACUGACCAGCAAGUGUAUUGGCUCUCCUUGGGCAUUCCCCAUCUGUUCAGUAAACUGUUCAUAUAGGAUUUUAUAGCACAUGUACUGUUGCCUAGGUCAUCGGUGGGAGCAGGUCUCCAAGGAGAGGCUGUGGCCUGGGCAAGCACCCCAAAACAUGCCUCUUGUGGAUACAUAGAGCAGCUGUUUCAUAGGUUAAUCAGCUAAAGGGAAGAGAAGUUCAGUGAUGCAUGCAAGGCCUCCCAGCCAGGGAGAGGUCAAGGAUGGCCUGACACCCAGGUGUCUACCCCAGGUGCUACUUUUUCACCCCUCUAAGGAAGAGGGGCUGCCCAAAGCCCUAAGCAUGGAUUCGUUCUCUGAAGGAGCAAGGCUGUGGGAAAGGACCCUAGGAAGGAGGUUGGACUUUGGCAAAUCCCACAGAAAGCCCUGAACGUCGGUGCCCAUGUGGAGAGGAACAGGGUAAGACCCUCAGAUUUGACUAGAAUGGCCUUGGUGGCCUUCAGGGAAGCAGGUUUGGGGAUGCUAGAAACUGAUGCUGGAGUUAAGGGUGAGGUGAAGAAGGGAUGGAAAUAAACAGAAUAAAAGGGAGGAAUGGAUUAUCAGAAAUAACAAAUGGUGGAAUCUUGGUCCAUGCUCUGGCAGCAUGGACCGUGCCCUCUGCUCCACCGAGUUAUAAGAAAUUCUGGAAUAGUGCGUGGUCCAGCGGUUAAGUUAAAAUGAGUGGAAGGACUUGCUACUUAGAUAAACAUGAGGUUCUCAGACACUAGUACACUUCAGAGAAACUAGGAAGUGUGUGCUAAAUAGGAUCUGGGUUGAAAAGGUGCACUUAAUAGGAUAAAGUUCAAGCAGACAGCUCUAUUGAGGGAUUAUCGUUACUAUGGGCAAGGCCUUUUUCCAAAUUAUAGGGAAAUAUCUUAUUUCUUGUUGCAUUAAAUGCUUUUUGCCCUCCGGAACUCUUCAUCAAUUAGGAAUGUU